rnacentral:lncRNA from 1 species
UUUUCUGACCUUGUGCAGCUGUCUGUUCUAGCUGACCGGUGCAGCCAGCACUGCCAGCAGUGUAUUUCAGGCAAGAACUCAGCCGCACUUGCAGAGGGACCAUUUGGAUGCAAGAAGUGGCAGGAAGAAGGGAGCAGCUCCUGGAAUCCCGUCAUGAGGUGCUCUGUCCAGACUCAGAUCUGGGAAACAAGGGGCUUCAGCGAUGGCUGGCCAGGUGGUUGACAAGCUUGUCCCUGAGCAGCCCUGCAAAUGCCGGGCUCCCCACCUCCCUGCUCAGCAGCUGAGCCCUGCAAAUACACUCACUGUUUUCAGUCUAA